rnacentral:rRNA from 1 species
CCUACGGGAGGCAGCAGUGAGGAAUAUUGGUCAAUGGGCGCGAGCCUGAACCAGCCAAGUAGCGUGAAGGAUGACUGCCCUACGGGUUGUAAACUUCUUUUAUAAAGGAAUAAAGUGAGGCACGUGUGCCUUUUUGUAUGUACUUUAUGAAUAAGGAUCGGCUAACUCCGUGCCAGCAGCCGCGGUAAUACGGAGGAUCCGCGCGUUAACCGGAUUUAUUGGGUUUAAAGGGAGCGUAGGUGGGUUGUUAAGUCAGUUGUGAAAGUUUGCGGCUCAACCGUAAAAGUGCAAUUGAUACUGGCAGCCUUGAGUACAGUAGAGGUAGGCGGAAUUCGUGGUGUAGCGGUGAAAUGCUUAGAUAUCACGAAGAACUCCGAUUGCGAAGGCAGCUUACUAGACUGCCACUGACGUUGAUGCUCGAAAGUGUGGGUAUCAAACAGGAUUAGAUACCCGUGUAGUC